UACGGAGGGGGCAAGCGUUGUUCGGAUUUACUGGGCGUAAAGGGUGUGUAGGCGGCUGGACAAGUCUGGCGUGAAAUCUUCACCGCUUAACGGGAAGGGGUCGCUGGAAACUGUUCAGCUUGAGUAUGGUAGAGGCAAGCGGAAUUCCUGGUGUAGCGGUGGAAUGUGUAGAUAUCAGGAAGAACACCGGUGGCGAAGGCGGCUUGCUGGGCCAUCACUGACGCUGAAACACGAAAGCGUGGGGAGCAAACGGG
rnacentral:rRNA from 1 species